GGGGUCCUUAUUUAUAGAUGGAGGGUGCAACUGAUCGAUAGCGAUGUCUGUAACUGUCUGAUAGUGGACCAUUCAGGGCUGCAUGGAGUUUGUUACAGAGAGUAGUGGUGUCAGGGGUUGUUCAGGGCCAUGUGGAGCUUGUCGCAGGGGGUGGAGUGGUGUCUGUUGUCAUGACUUGCCAGAGAGUGGUGGAGCUGCAUGGAAUCCGUUGUAGAGAGUGGAGUAGGGUGGUGGCUCUUAUCGUGGCUUGUC
rnacentral:lncRNA from 1 species